rnacentral:antisense_RNA from 1 species
AUUUUGCUCUUGCGUAUAAGCGCGUGGUGUAA